UUAUAAGUUUCUGGAUCCUAGUUCUGUUACAGCUGACGAGCUUAAACAUCUCAACCAAUCUAUCCUUCACCAUCUCCUCAAAAGAAAGGAUAUAUACCAAUCUACAAGUCCCCAAGAGCUGUCUAGGUUUCAGCAGAUGUUAAAG